AACCCCUGUCAGUGGCAGAGAGACCCCUUGGUGGUGGUGUUGCUCUUACGUCAGUCAGGGCCAGAGCAGGUGGCGGUCCUUUGUUCAUCCUAGCUUGAUGCCUGGCUUGGUGGCCAAAGCUGCCUUAUGCCUAGGAUUCAUAA
rnacentral:snoRNA from 1 species